rnacentral:rRNA from 1 species
GACGAACGCUGGCGGCGUGCUUAAUACAUGCAAGUAGAACGCUAAGGGCCGGCCUUUGUUGGGUGCACGAGUUGCGAACGGGUGAGUAACACGUAAGUAACCUGCCCUUGAGCUUGGGAUAACUUUAGGAAACUGUGGCUAAUACCGCAUAGGAGCACCUGCUGCAUGGUAGGGGCUGGAAAGUUUCGGUGGUUUGGGUUGGACUCGCGGCUUAUCAGCUUGUUGGUGGGGUAGUGGUAUAGCAAGGCGAUGACGGGUAGCCGGCCCGAGAGGGUGACCGGCCACAGAGUGCCAGAGGUACGGGCCAGACUGCUACGGGAGGCAUCAGUGGAGAAUAGUGCACAAUGGGCGGCAGGCUGAUGCAGCAACGUCGCGUGCGGGAGGACGGCCGUCGGGGUGGAAACCGCGUUCGCGUGUGACGAAGCGUGAGUGACGGUAACGGGUAAAGAAGCACCGGCUAACUACGUG